UACUACCGAAGCUACGGCAUCAGUAAUGAUGGGUAGGGGAGCUUCCCAUACGGGUUGAAGCAUGACCGUAAGGACAUGUGGACAGUAUGGGAGUGAGAAUGUUGGCAUGAGUAGCGAGAUGUGGGUGAGAAUCCCACAGGCCGUAAACCCAAGGUUUCCAGGGGAAGGUUCGUCCGCCCUGGGUUAGUCGGGACCUAAGCUGAGGCCGAAAGGCGUAGGUGAUGGACAACAGGUUGAUAUUCCUGUACUACCGAUAACCGGUUGAGAGAAGGGAUGACACAGUAGGAUAAGCUAAGCACACUGUUGGGUAUGUGUGCCCAAGCAUUGAGGCAGUCAAAGUAGGCAAAUCCGCUUUGAUAAUGCUGGGAUGUGAUGGGGAGCGAAAUUUAGUAGCGAAGUAGCUGAUUUCACACUGUCAAGAAAAGUCUCUAUCGAGGUUAAAGGUACCCGUAACGCAAACCGACACAGGUG
rnacentral:rRNA from 1 species